UACGAAGGGGGCUAGCGUUGCUCGGAAUCACUGGGCGUAAAGCGCACGUAGGCGGCUUUUUAAGUCAGGGGUGAAAUCCUGGAGCUCAACUCCAGAACUGCCUUUGAUACUGAGAAGCUUGAGUCCGGGAGAGGUGAGUGGAACUGCGAGUGUAGAGGUGAAAUUCGUAGAUAUUCGCAAGAACACCAGUGGCGAAGGCGGCUCACUGGCCCGGUACUGACGCUGAGGUGCGAAAGCGUGGGGAGCAAACAGU
rnacentral:rRNA from 1 species